rnacentral:pre_miRNA from 1 species
GUUAUAAAAUAUUCUUAGUAUUAUCUUAAGAGUAAUGAUCCUCUGAGACCCUCCCACACCCAUGUGUGUAGGACUCCAAAGGAUCACAUUUAAAUUUGGCACAGAUCUCUAGAAAAGUUAUCAUAUGGGUGUGGAACUUGACUUUUCUAGAGAUCUGUGCCAAAUUUAUUGGUAAUCUUUUGGGGUCCUACACACAUGGAUGUGGAAGGGUCUCAUAACGUCCUUUCCCUUAUCUUAAAAUCUAUUUUCAUACCUAAUUAGAAAAUUUUAAAAU